ACGAACGCUGGCGGCGUGCUUAACACCUGCAAGUCGAACGGAAAGGCCCUGCUUUUGUGGGGUGCUCGAGUGGCGAACGGGUGAGUAACACGUGAGUAACCUGCCCUUGACUUUGGGAUAACUUCAGGAAACUGGGGCUAAUACCGGAUAGGAGCUCCUGCUGCAUGGUGGGGGUUGGAAAGUUUCGGCGGUUGGGAUGGACUCGCGGCUUAUCAGCUUGUUGGUGGGGUAGUGGCUUACCAAGGCUUUGACGGGUAGCCGGCCUGAGAGGGUGACCGGCCACAUUGGGACUGAGAUACGGCCCAGACUCCUACGGGAGGCAGCAGUGGGGAAUAUUGCACAAUGGGCGGAAGCCUGAUGCAGCAACGCCGCGUGCGGGAUGACGGCCUUCGGGUUGUAAACCGCUUUCGCCUGUGACGAAGCGUGAGUGACGGUAAUGGGUAAAGAAGCACCGGCUAACUACGUG
rnacentral:rRNA from 1 species